rnacentral:rRNA from 1 species
UACGUAGGUGACAAGCGUUGUCCGGAUUUACUGGGCGUAAAGAGCGCGCAGGCGGUCGUUCAAGUCGAGUGUGAAAGCCCCCGGCUCAACUGGGGAGGGUCAUUCGAUACUGAUCGACUCGAAGGCAGGAGAGGGUAGUGGAAUUCCCGGUGUAGUGGUGAAAUGCGUAGAUAUCGGGAGGAACACCAGUGGCGAAGGCGGCUCACUGGCCCGAUACUGACGCUGAUGCACGAAAGCGUGGGGAGCAAACAGG